CUUUCGCGACGACGAAGCUCUCAUGCGAACUUUUUUGUUAUCUUUUUAUCUUUCUUGUUCUUUUUUUUUUUUUUUUUCACUUCCUCAGUCCUCAGCACGAGCAAGUAAGUAUGAAAUCGCGAUGUAGAUCUCUCUGUCAUCGUCCCUUUUUCGCCUGAUGAGCUCGGGUUCUGCUCUGAUGGCGAUUACAGAAGAGUAUUUCGUUUUCUGCUGUUCUUUCUCUCGAAAUCGCGAUAGGGUUUUGCCUGGAAGAUAAUCCCUAUGAUGAUUGAGUUUUUCGGCAUAAAAGUAGUGGACUGACUUUUAUCUGAUGAAUCUAAGCUCCGAGGGAUGCAUUUUGUUGCUUGAUUGCUUCGAUUUUGAUUGCACUUGAAGGUUUUCAGUUGCAAAAGCUUAUUUUGUUACUGUUUUACUGUCCAGAUCUCCCAUGUUAUACUCAUUCCUAUCUGGAUCAUGCAUCCCCUAUGAGGACUGUUGAAAUUAAAGUAGUGGACUGACCACUCUUGAUGAUCAAAGUCGUUCCUGAGGAGAUAUUGCUUGUGAUAUUAUGGUCCUCAGUGUUGUUGUUCUCGUCCUUUUGGUCACCGCAUUUGGUUUUCCUUCUUAAUGAUCGAAUUGCUCAACAUUCCUUUUAGAUGUCCAAGGCCACAAGGUUUUUUCGCAUCCCCAUGAUGGAUGUUGAUAGGACUGAAAUUUCCCUGACGAAUUUUUGGUCUGAGGGAUGUGGCUUUGGAUGAUACAUUCGGGUUCUUUUGACUACUUGUUCGUGGUUAAGGAUCCUAUUUACACCUCAUUUGUCCUUCUCUGUUGCCAAGUGAGCUGGACUUGGUUUUUUUCGCUUUAAGCUCUUGCAAGGGUACUUUCAUUUUUAGAGCCUGCUUAUUUAGAUGAAUCUUUUCCGUCCUUUCUUUUGUUAAAUUAAUCCCAGUUCGAGCCAAACAUUCCCCAUAUGCAAGUUUGAGUUGUUUCCAAUGCUUUCUAUAUUAAUGUUUAGAGGCUGCAAUCAGCUGGAUCUUGAUGAGUAUUUGCGUAAACCAUUAUUCAUAUUCCUUUUUCUGAGGCUCUUCAACAAGUAUUGUGCUCACAUCGAUCCUCAUGGCAUUUCUUGUUUUUUCCAUGACUUCGUUGCUUGAUCUGACCUGACUUGUGCAGAUUGGCAUCUUUGUCUCUUGUUGAACAUGGAGAACGUAAUGAUGCUGCAAAGAGGUUCUCUCCUUUCUUUCCUUUUCUCGAUAGAUGGUGAUACCAGUUGAAUGUUAGUCAUGUUAUAUUGAUUCUGGUGAUCUUAUUUGGCAACAGCAGGUCGGCUGGCUCAAAGUUCCUUUAAUUGUUCAUUGGCCAUGUUCUUGGGUUGCGUUGUUAUGAGGUGAUUAUUAGUAGGACUCCAAACAUAGCAUUCUGCAGGAAUUGUCACUUCAAGCUGAAUGAAGCCUAAUUUAUUUCAGCUGCCAUCCACUUUACAGACAAGAAGUUUCAGUUUGAUAAACUAGAAAAUUUAAGAUAUCGCAUUUUGCAAUGUCUUCCGUUGAUGAUUUGAGCAAUAGUUUUGUUCCUUUGAUUGAAGAAUCUUGUGAAUGAUACAUACUAUGCAUUUGAAUUGAUUGACCCAGGUGAUUAAAAUUGUAAACAGCAGUCCAAUACUUAUGUAUUAA